AUUGAACGCUGGCGGCGUGCUUUACACAUGCAAGUCGAACGGUAACAGGUUAAGCUGACGAGUGGCGAACGGGUGAGUAAUGCAUCGGAACGUGCCCGGUCGUGGGGGAUAACGCAGCGAAAGCUGCGCUAAUACCGCAUACGAUCUGAGGAUGAAAGCGGGGGACCGUAAGGCCUCGCGCGAUCGGAGCGGCCGGUGUCAGAUUAGGUAGUUGGUGGGGUAAAGGCGCACCAAGCCAACGAUCUGUAGCUGGUCUGAGAGGACGACCAGCCACACUGGGACUGAGGCACGGCCCAGACUCCUACGGGAGGCAGCAGUGGGGAAUGUUGGACAAUGGGCGAAAGCCUGAUCCAGCAAUGCCGCGUGCAGGAAGAAGGCCUUCGGGUUGUAAACUGCUUUUGUACGGAGCGAAAAGGUCUCCUCUAAUACAGGGGGCUCAUGACGGUACCGUAAGAAUAAGCACCGGCUAACUACGUGCCAGCAGCCGCCGUAA
rnacentral:rRNA from 1 species